CUUCCCUCAAUGUUUGCUGGUUGCGGCACGUUUAGACACAAGCACUGCGUGCCAAGGGGACGAGCCAGGUCCUGCCACUCACCCUCUGGGGCGGGAAGGAAGUCUGAUAGAGGAAGGAAGCUGAGUGGCGAGGUCUGACUCCCUCCCUAAAUGUCUGCUGAGGGCUAAGUGCUCGCUGGCCCAACACGCUGGGCGCUACGAGGCCCACCAGACAGGUCCACACCUUCUCCCCAGCCCUGUGCCCCCUGAAGCUACUGCCUGGCUGUCCCCAUCCUGUUCCAGCCAAACCUCCCCGGACAGGUGCGUGCUCACAGCUCCAAGGCCCUGGCGUCCCCGAUCACCCUGACCCCUGAACCGGCUGUUCCUCCGCUGCACCAGGAGGAACCAGCUCAGCCCCGUGGACCCACGGCUCCCCAUGGCUGUCCCUGUGCCCACCCACUGGACUUCCGAAGUGCAGACAGGAGGACUCAGCAUCCACAAAUCCGAAAGGCAGGACUGGAGGAGACGCGGGUGCGUGCGCGGGGAGGGGCACCCGGGACCUGAAGGAUCCCACACAAGGAGCCCGAGGUCCCGCUACAGGCGCUGAGGCCCAGCUCCCCUCUAAGCCUCACUGGCAGAAGUGAGAAACCCAAGGCCUCCAGCUCCGAGUCACACAGCGAGUGUGGGGGCCGGAGAGCCGGGGAGGACGGAGCACCGAGCUCCUGGCUGCCCGGGCCCAGCCCUGCCGCUGACACCCUCCGGGGACAUCACCAAGUCCUGGCUCAGAGAUCACCUGGCCCUGGAGGAUCGAACUCAGGACCUUGCAUUUGCCAGGCACAUGAGGCACCACUGAGCUACAUCCCCAGCCCCUCCUCUUUCCUCUUAAAUAAAUGUAUUUAAGUUCAAAGUGGGUUAACAAAAACAAUAUUGAGUUAGUACAGUGCAAAUAGCUCCCUGAUACGGAGAAGACUGGGGAAGACAGUGGCUGACGGAGUGGAGCAGAACCCAGGGGCGGCGGGGAGGCAUCUUCCUGAAAGCCCUGGUGAAAGAGGGUGACCUGAAUAACACAUGCGUGGGGAGCGGCCGGGGGCUCCAGGACCUGGACCUCCCUGUUCCUCCGGUCCUCCCCACCACCAGCUCGGAAGGAAGAGUGGGAGCUUCCUCUGCUAAGGGCCUGGACCCUUCCGGCCUCUCUGCCCUGCUGCUUGUCGUGUCCUCCCCGGAACCAUCAGCUCUGGAGCCCAGCCUGGCCCCACUAAGCCAGGGCACUGCCUGCUGUGCUAGGCAGCCUGGCUCCUCUGCCCUCCCAGCACCCUUGGCACCGCAGCUGCUGACAUCUAAGACAGGUCUCCAAAUUCCACCCUCAGGGGCUCUCUCCUGGCCCAGAGAACUCCUGUUCCUCCUCCCUGCCCCCUCCAUGCCAGUCUCUCCUUGGCUAUCUUUCCUGGGGGAGCAUGCAUGGCUCUGAGGCUGCAGGGACUGGGGGGACUCCGGGACUCACCCUGCUCUCCCAGGCAGAUGAGGGAGGGUUGAGGGGCUGUGGGGAGCAGAUAGACAGCAGGC
rnacentral:lncRNA from 1 species